ACUCAGUCCUCUAUCGUGCAGACACAGAUCACAACCUCAGCAGCAGCUCAGCACUGAAAUGUGGAUCCUCUCCUGCGUCCUCAUUGGCUCUCUGGCCUCUUCUUUGCCCGAAAAUCACACCACCACACCUCCACCUGCAUCAAAACCUUCACCGACAUCCACACAUCCACCUGCAUCUGCCUCCGUCACUCCUUCUCCAUCACUCAUUCCUGUGUUGUCAUCUAUUGGAUCAGUGUGUUCUGUGGUUCUGCUGAUGUUAGUGGUUCUGGUGGUGAAACGAUGGGUAUGUGGAAAACCCAAAGAGGAUGCAGAAGAAGUUAGAGAAAAUGACAUCACAGAUGGCAUCAUAUACAGUGAAAUCAUAACCUCAAAUUAUCAACAGCAGCCAGCCAGACAGAGCCCAGGUAAUUUUCUGGAGCCAGAGGUCAUUUACUCCAAUCUCCAGUAGUCGACCAGUCCAGCCAGUGGAGUCCAGCUGCUCUACUUGUGUUGUCCUGUGGGUUUCAUGAAGAUGACUGAUGGAAAAUUUGAAUUGACUGAUAAAACAUCUGUCUUCUGAUCAGAUAGGAAACAAACAAAUUAACUGCAACCACAGACUAUAAACAGCAUGAGCAUCGCUACAUUGUGUGGGUUACAAGCAGCAAUUUAUAUGUCAGCUUUCAGAAACUCAAUGAACUGUUUCAUUAUUAAAUUAAAAGCAUUCUGUGCUUUCAAACUCAGAAUUGUGACUUUUGGUUUGAUGAAACAGAAAACAUUUCAUCAUGUUUAAUCAGACCCCCCUCCCACCCAAAAAAAACUAUAGUAUUAAAAUUCAACUCAGUUAAUUCAGUUGCAUUUGUACAGCAAAUAAAAAGAUCACAGCAACAGUCGCCCCGAGGUGCUUAAACUGGACAGCUCCCCUGAUCCCGUUGAUUAUAGGAAGUGUCAGCACCUUUCAUAAUAAGAGCAUGGAAAUUAUGAAAAAAUUCUAGAACCACAGAUAAUCAUGCUUCCAUCAGAUAACAUGUAUUUUAAAUGUGAAACAUAGAGACAGCGAACAUAAAGAAGAACAUAGACAUGACGUUAGUUUUGUGGUUUCAGGCCUUCAGAGUCUGCUGCCAUCUACUGCUAUUACUGGGUAUUAGCAAAUGACAACAAGAAAAAACCUGUAAACUACUUAAUGUCUAUAUGUUGUGAUAAGUUUAUAGUUAGUUAUUCAGAGUUAAAAUGUUUUUAUUGUUCAUGAAGGAUUACCAGACUGAAAAUACAUCAUAUAAACUCUUACACAUUUUUCUGUAUCUCUCCCACAUGUGAUGAAUGCCUGUUACUGGAUGAAUAUGAACAUUCUUUGUUUAAAUGUGACUCUUUGUUGGGGCAAAAUAAACAAAAGGAACUCAA
ensembl:lncRNA